AUAUAAAGUUUAAUUCUAGCUUCAUUAUUUAUUUAAUUUUUUUUUUACAUGUAAGAUUUUACGAGAAUUAAAAUAUAAUUUUAAUAAUUAUAUUUAUAUAUUUAUUCGCAGUAUGAAGUUUUAAUAAUUUAAGAAAUUAAGAAUUAUAAAUAAAUUUUAGUAUUGACAAAUUUUGUGCCAGCAGUUGCGGUUAUACAAAAAAUGCAAAUAAAUAUUAUUAGUAAGUAAUUAAAUGAAUUAAUUAAAGUAGAAAUUUAUAUUUAUAAGGUGAAAUUUUAAAUAUAAAAUUAUAUUUUAAAUAAAUUUUUGUUAUUACGAAAUUUAUUUUUAAACUAGGAUUAGAUACCCUAUUAUUUUAAAUGUAAAAAAAUAUACUAAAGUAGUAAUAGUUAUGUUCUUUAAAUUUAAAGAAUUUGGCGGUAUUUUAGUCUUUUCAGAGGAACCUGUUCUGUAAUUGAUAGUCCACGAUUAACUUUACUUGACUU
rnacentral:rRNA from 1 species